AAAGCUGCAAAAAAAUUAAAAGCUGCAAAAAGUGCUAAAAGUUAACUAACUGCAGCUAAUUUUAUGUACAUGUUUUGUAGUAAAUCAGUGGGACUGUUCCUGCGGUGUGCCUUAAUUAUAUAGGUGCGAGAGCGAGCGACCUGUUAGUGCGUAAGUAUGCGUGCGCGCCUGUGUGAGUGUGUGUGUGGCGGGAGGGAGCGAGAACGUGGUCACGCUUGGUUGACUCCAGGGGUCACAGGUCAAUGCUAGUUAAUAAGAAGUGCUGUCAGGGGUCUCGGAGGUCAUCCCUCAGGGGCUGACCCUCUUGUCAGCGACACUUAAUGUGUGCGCAGUCUUUACCUUGUCAAGUCAAACAAGCAGCCCAGCCUCUCAAUGGGUUUAAAACAGCCACUUUUGACCCAGGGGUUGUGACCCUCCCAUCUCACUCGGUGGGGAGUAAUGAAGCAGUCCUUUAGGCACGUGGAGGGGUCAGAGGUCAGACCAUCUCAAAAGGCCUGGGUCGGCUUUUUAUUAGAUGUCGGAUCGGUGUCUGCGGAUCGCGCCGGCUUAGAGGAACUCCGAGAUGAUUGAUAGUGAUUCCUGGGUACUUGGCCAUUUCUGCAUCUAAUGGUCUUUAUUGAGUGCUCUCUGUUCCUGUGAGCCUGACAGGAUUUAGUCCUAAGUGACGUGAUCCUGAUUUUGUCUCCCGAAGCACACUUGUUGUGGAGAUUCUCAGGUGAAGAACUGCUUUGUUGAUACGAUUUGGGCAGUUCUAAUCAUUUAUGUUAUAUUUUUAAUUCUAAAUCUAAUAUAAUGCACAAAAUAACUGAAAAUAUUACUUCUUUGUUUACUGAGUGUAUGCUUCUCGUCUAUAAGUACUCACUGUUGGCUUUUUGAUACGUUAGAAUUUUAGCUGGGGGUGUGCUUAAAUUAUUGAAAAACUAUACUGGUAUUAUCAAAAUUAGCUCAAAAUAAAUUUCUAGCUAGAUAUAAAGCUCUUCCAUGUUGAGCUAGAUUAAUCAAGUAGCGUGCGAUUAAGCCAUUUUUACUGUUAAACUCCUAACAUCCUUGUGUAAGAUACUGUUAGCCAACAUAAUUAAAAUUUAUUAAACGUAUAAGAAAAAGAAAAAACACACAGCAAGAAACAUUGUUCCACAAUCAGUUUUAUUUCUUCAAAAAUAACAAUACAGUAUAUUUUCAGUCGUCGGCGUUCGUUAUGACAGUAAAGGGUUAGCCGACUGUGUCUGUGAGAUGGCGGUAGCGGCCAUUUUGUGUUAUACAUUGCCUGAGUGUGGGAGAGUGAAUUGGUUUGAAUGCUUAGAAGUUAACUCAGACAGUCCACUUGUCCACUGCAGCUUGUUUGCUAUAAAAAAAAACACUGUGCCAUUCCGUUGUAUGUGAAGGCUCAUUUUAAUAGAGCUGAACGUGGAUAUAAUCAGUAGCCUAUUGUAAAUGAAUGUAGAUGUCUGCUCUGCAUGCUAAAGAGUCUGUGUGGAGUCAGGGUUAGCAUUAGCAGUUAGCUGCUCGGAAUGUUCUUUAUUGUCUUGUUGCUUAAUAUCUCAUGCUCGCAUUUUCUUACAAGUGUGAUUGAUUAAAUUUGAGUUAAAUGCCAUACGUGCUGCAACACCUGUAAUACAAGCUUGAACUUAGCACUCGAGCUUUUUUCUGUUUUCCGGAGGUUUGUUAACAAACGUUUGGACACCAAUGCUAGUCAGUACAGCUAAUGCAAUGAGUGUUUAGAAGUGUCAGGCCGUGUCGAAGCUCAGGUUGUUAGUAGUUGGCUGGCAGUGUGUAAGCAGAAGUGUUUCAUGUCCUUAAGUGACCCUUGCGCAUGGCACCGUGCGACAUAUAUGUGUAUUGGAAGUAUGCAAUUAAAUAUAUAUACGUAUUUUUCAUCUGCCCCCUAGAAAUAGGGCUGUGGAUUGGUUAGGAGCUGUGGCGAGAUGUGACGUAGAGAGAACCCCUUCACCGACAAGGUUUCUGCUCUUGUCUCUCUUUCUCUGAACAUUAUGGUUCAACACACUCCAGAAAGAACGAUCCGUUCAAGGCUCUAACCCACUCUUCUUUCAGCCCGUUCUGUUUCACAGCUUGGGCUGAAUCCUCGGAUCUUCGGACUCUGCCCAUCAAGUAAUGUGGCAGGAUUGAAUUGAGUGCCUGUGUGUGUGUGUGUGUGUGUGUGUGGACAGACACGAAACAGCCUUCCGAACCAAAGUCAGUCCAGGAGGGAAUGGGUGCGCCCCCACAGUCCUAAACACACACACUCACACACACACACCAGAGCCAGCUACAGUAGCAGCCAUGUUAGAACCCAUGGAAUCAGGGCAUUUACGAAGUGCACCUAGACACUACGGGACAGAAAGCAGAAGAAAGUUUCCCCCACCUUUUCUUUCGACUCAUUCCUAUUCUGGGUCAUCUGAUCUUGAGCAUUCAACGGGAAAAAACAAACAUAAUCAGACAUUGAAAACACAUAUCAGAUAAGUCCGCUUACGCAGGCUGAGGUUUUUAGCGUCUGCUGUCUUUGCCCUUCUCUCUCCCCACUCCCAUUACUUUAGCAGGAGAGAGGGGGGCAAGAGAACGAGAGCUAGCGAGAAGGGAGGGGGGAGUUUGAGUGCCGCCAAGUCCAGCCGGGUUUUCUGGACUGAGUGAACUGCAUACGAGGCAGGAAAUUUAUUUAUUGUUUUUUUUUUUUCUUCUUCUUUUUCCGUUUUCUGUUUGCUUUACAGUAGCGGUACAGUAAGCGACCUUAAAUGGAGAACUGCAAACGUCAGUGAGGGUGAAAAGGAAGGAAAGUGGUGGGAGAUACAGAGAAAGAGGGAAGGACAGAAUGAAAUGGGGGUUAAAAAAUAGCAAUGGAGGAGGAGAGCAGAAGGAACUCUGAUAAAGCAUGAAUAUGCAGUGUUGGUUCUGCAGCACUCUAGUGAGGUGUGGUUCUAGUUCAGAUAUUUUUGGCAUUUUUUUGGCUCGCUCGCUCUAUCAUUGUAGCAGGGCGGGAUUUGAGUGGGUGGGGUGGAUGGAUGGAAGCGUAGGGGAUUAAGCAAGGGAGAAAAAGAGAGAGAGAGAGGGCACGUGAGGGAAGCAGUGUGGAAGGGGUGGAGCUUUGUUUUUCUGCUUCACUUUCAUUGGCUGAGAGUAUGAAUUUGGGCAAUGCUGAAAUUCACAGGAUACGUUGGAGUAGCCACUCGUGAAGGACUGUGGAGCCUUCGUUUUGGAAAUAGUCACAGCAGAGUGAAGCUCAAAGUGCCGAAGUGCUUUAACGGACCACGUUUGACUGCAGGUUUGUUGGCGAGCAGAUAGAUUCUGCUUUUCUUUUGCUCUAUGCAGCUCUCUCUUUCUGAUCUUUCUUCCUCUCUCGCUUUCUCUUCCUGUGUGUUUAGUUGGAUUAUGUCUGCAUGAAGCUCCAGAAUGGCGUGAGAGUGCAUACAGAGUCUGCACGCUGGGGGAGGAGUGGAUUGUAUGUCACACUCACUCACUCCCUCGCUCCCUCCCUCUUUCUCUAUCUCUUUACUCCUCCCGCCCUGGAUUUUCUGCAUUUCUACCCUCCCACUCUCUCUCUCUCUAACUCUAGCUCGCUCUCUCUCUCUCAAGUGCAAGACCAUGUGGGACAUAUGAUGAGAAAGAGGCUCACCACACUGAGUCUCAUAUUUCAACAUUAGUCAGCCCCUCUCUCUCUUUCUCUCUCUCUCUCUCUCUCGCUCUCUUUCUGUCUUUUGCUCACUCACUUUCUCUCGCUCCCUUUCCUCACAUGCUCCCCUCUUUCCUCUACUUACUCCUCUCUUUAAGCUGUUCGCAAGGGGGAGACUGCAUGGAGCUCGCCAGAGAAAGCAAGUAAGGAAGGGAGGGAGGGAAAAAAGAGGCAGGAAAAAAAGGAGAGAGGGGAAAAAAAAACGUCGGCUGCUUUUUCUGCUGCUGCGAGGGCCUCCCCACCGGCGGGCCCAGCCAGAGAGGGAGGGCUUCCAGCUCUCCUAAGAGGAUUUAACCCUCUGUCUGCAGCAGCACGCUGCACUGCAGCCCACCCAAAACCCUGCCAACAAGUCACGCUUUCCAGCGCAUUGCUUCAAUUUUUUGUUUUGCCUUUUUUGCACGCGCCACUGUUUGCACAAUGGAAAUUUCGCUUUUGUUGUCGAUUUGAACUUUUUAAAAAAAUUGGCGGCUAUUUUCUUCAUGGUGUUUUUUGUAGUUUUCGAAGAGCGAUUUCGGACUGGGCGACACAGAGAGGCAGAUCUUUUUGCUUUUACGGAGGCAAGAGAUUCUGUAGGUAGGUUCUUAUCUGUCUGACUGGAGGGCACUCCGUGCUUUGGCCCAGGGUGGGCCUCCCCACGCCGCUUUCAGCUCGGCCUUAACACUCGUGGGAAAGCUAGCGUUGAAGCGCUUUUUGUUUCUUUACGUCGAGGAUAACGCUGCCCUAGCCUGCCAAAUAGUGCCAGGUACACGUUUUUGGAAGUACUGGCCCACUGCUGCCCUCCUCCUACCCUCUCUUUCAUUCCCUCUCCUCCUCCCUCCUUCUCAAUUCAGUCAAGGCUAGUAGUGUGCAGGAGCUCUGUCUGGGACAGGUGCCAAUUGCUCACAAAAGACUGAAAAAAAAAAAUUUGGGCCACAGGACGGAAAGUGGUGCACAGAUUUGCACUGUGAAAAUGUUACACAGGAACACGAGAGGGGGGCAAGCGAAAGGAGGGGAGCGUGGUUCCACUUCCGUGGGGCAGAUUUUUGGUUUUUGCUUGCACACUUGCUCCAAGAACUCGAGCAGAAUCCCCGCUGCUGCCGCCACCACCACUGCCUCCUUGGACUUGCUUCAGAAUACCAUGCUUUUCCAAGUUAGGACCUGAUGAUGGUUCAGAACUCAGGAGAAAAGGGAAAAAGAAGGACGAGAGAGAAAAGGCAUGACUGAGAGACGCAGAGCCGAGGGGAGGGGAAGAAGGAAAGAAGGAAAACGGAAGGAGGAGGAGGACGAGGGGGGGCCUUUUCCAGCCUGUUAAAUGUUCCUCAGGCCCAGCCAAAGCGAAGGCAGGAGCUGCAUGCUGAUUUGCAUGCAGCAGACAUGCUAAUUGUGUGUUUUCUAACAUGCUCCAUUCAUUGCAACGAGGCUGCGCUCCGCAGACGGGCUUCACACACGCCUCCCAGACACCCUCGUGGCCUCCUAUUGUUGCUGAGGCCCAGCCAGCCGCUUUAACACAGCCAGCGGAGCCUGCAGGCCUGGGCCCGGGCUCGCCGUGGAUCAGGGGGCUAACCUGGAGCUCUGGGCUGCUGCAGAGAGAGAGGAGAGUGGGCAAAUUCAGCUCGAGCCCCCCUCUCUGCUCUGGAUCUUCUCCAUCAUCUCCAGGCCUCCACAGCGAAUACGGCUUGGCAGAAGACGGCUGGGCGAAAAGCAGAGAGGCCUGCCGAAAUCCUGACGCGAACGCGUGCGCUUUUACAACCUCCAGGGUUAGAUUUGUGACUGAAGCUUAGAGCUCCUCUGCACACACUGACUGCUGGAGCAGAGCAAGGACACACACCCCUCCCCACAGAAAGUACAGGCAGAGACUACAAGUAACGGGACCUCAAAAUACACAGGAAAAAUUUAAUGACAGCUACAGCCUCCUGCAUUUCAGGUACUGUAUUGUAGGUAAGUAAUUGUUGUGUUUAGAGGUAUUUAAACACAGUGUGUAUCUAUUCUAAGUACUUUACUUUGUGUCACUGGAGCUCAGUGGUUAGAGUGCUGGUUAUAUAUUAUGGUUGUGGGUUUAAAAACAUGGGUCCACUAAUGCUCUGAUCCCAAGUUUCUUAAAUAGACUAUGCAGAGAGAUAUAUUUAAUUGUACUGUACUGUAAGUAAAUGCUGUAUUUAUGCUGUUCUCUUGUUGCUGUACACACAAAGCCCUCUUCCCGGCCUAAAACAGACCAGCAGCUGAUCAGGAGUGCAAUUCGCUGUCCUUUGGGGUGAGGUAGUAGGUUGUAUAGUUUUAGGGUCAUACCCUUCCUGUCAGAUAACUAUACAACUUACUGUCUUUCCUGAAGUGGCUAUAAUAUCAUCGCCAUGCACAAUGGGAUUCUCGAGAUGCAAAGCCACUCACGUGACCUGGGGUUGGACUGACUGUCUGUCAUGCAGCCUAAUUAGCCUGCAGUAUGUAUGUGAGUUGCUUGAAUUCAUAAAAAGCAGUUAUUAUGUGUCUUUAUGUCUCUCCAUACCCUGAGGCUGCGGCUGCACACUGCAGUGCUGGCUUAUAAUACCCGUUAUUGUGAUGCUUGUAUACUAUGGAACUCCUGGAAGCAGCUGUUUGAGUAGUUAGAAGAAGUGAGCAGACAGUAUAGUGAAUGAAUAUUCUGCAAACCCACUGUGCAUGCUUGUGUUGACUUGAAUGAUGCAUUCAGUGUCUGUAAUGAGUGUUGAACUAUUGUCCUAUUCAUGUUUAACUUUCAUCUUUUGCUUUGCAGGUUUGUAUUGAAAUUAUAUUGUUAGUUAGGCUAGUAGUUAGGCUUAACUACUGCACAUAACUAACUAUAUCAAGAAUAAAUGUUUUGGGUUUUUUUUUAUUUGUAGACAUUCAUAGACACCAAUAGAGAUGCUUCAGUGGACUGAAAGUUAAGUUCUUUCUUUCUCUUCUAUAAGGUCAGUUUAAAAAUGAAAGUUAAAUGCACAUGUCCAGCCUUGCGCCUUUUCUCUGUUCACCCUACGAGACAGUUCCUGAUGUUCGUACAGGGUGAGGUAGUAGGUUGUGUGGUUUCAGGGUAGUUAUUUUGCCCCAUCAGGAGAUAACUAUACAACCUACUGCCUUCCCUGGAGGGCAGCGAUACAACACCUAAUCACAAACAGGGGGUGACCGCCAACCUUCAUCUUUUCCACCAAGGUAUUUUAGGAACUUUUUACACUUGUUGCAUCUCUGAAUAUGAGUUCUGAAUAAGUUCCUGAUUGUGUGUUGACUUUAGAAGCUGGUAAGUGGCUCGUAAUCUAAAUGUUAAGAAAGGUGAGAUACACUAUAUUGCCACAAGUAUUCACUUACCCAUCUAAAUCAUGGAUUUCGGGUGUUGCAAUCACUUCCAUGUCCACAUGUGUGUAAAACCGAUCACCUAGACAUGCGGACUGUUUCUUCAAACAAUAAUAAAGGAAUGGGUUGCUCUUGGGAGCUCAUUUAAUUUCCUUCGGGGUACCAUGAUAGGAUGUCCCCUGUGCAACAUGUCCAGUAGUGAAAUCUUCUCACUAAUAAAAAAAAGUCCACAGUCAACUGUCAGUGAAACUAUAACAGUUUAAAGUGGAAGUGACUGGGAAUUACAACAACUCAGUUACAAAAAGAUAUAGACCACAUAAAAUUACACAGCGAGGUUGGGCGGAUGCUGUGGGCUGAGACACAUAGUGCACAGAGGUCACCAACUUUCUGCAGAGUCAGUCACUACAGACCUCCAAACCUCAUGUAGCCUUUAGAUCUCAAGAACAAUGCAUAUAGAGCUUUAUGUAAUUUUUUUUUUUAAACACACUCCGAAACCUUGUGAAAAGCCUUCUUCUUUGUGUAAAGAAGAGUUAAAGCUGUUAAAGCUGUUAUAGCUACAAAAAUGGUGGGUCGAUAAUAUAAUAAAGACUACAGAUUAAGAAUGGGAUGUCACUCAAGUUCAUAUGUGUGCAAAGGCAGACAAAAAAUACUUUUGGCAAUUUAGUGUAGCAGCAGAAGACAGUGUGUUUAAAUCACAUGAAUUCUUGGUUGUGCCCUUAGGCAAGACACUUAAUGUUCUGCUGCCACAGGUGGCACUGCAUAAUAGACAAUUUUCCUUCUAAGUGGAUCAUUAAAAUAUAGCUGAAUUAAGAUUUUUUAUGCAUGUAUGGUGCAUCAGUUAUCCUCGUUGAUUUUGUCUUCCCUUGCUUCUUUUUUGUAUGAAUCUCUUGGCUUUAAUUAAUUUUGUAAAUGCCAUGUAUGAAAAAUUAAUAAAUAAAGAUCAGGCCCAGUAAAAAAAAAAAAAAAGUAAAAGAAGUAGGUGCUGUACAGAUUGUAAUACUUGUUCUGCUCUGAAUAUCUGCUCUGUUCUAAUAGCAAGCCAACAAUAAAACAGUGUCAUUAAAGGUU